CAAUUUCUAUUGUUAAUCUAAUUAUGAUUUUUGGUAUACAAAUACUAUGUUUCGGUAACAUUUACUGCGCAUGUUGCUGUUAUUUCAUCAUUUUCUUCUGUUCACUUCAAAAUUUACUAUGUCUAUAGUCAACUCAAACAUCAUGCACCGACAAAUUUCAACUGAGCACGUUUCCGUUGAAGUUUACAACAAAUAUAGUAAUUUUUAUAACAAGGAAAAAUUGACAUGAAACAUUACGAUACUACAUAAUUGUUUGUUUUUCAUCGCGUAACUUUCAGUUUGUGCUUCCGCGAAUAAUUAGUUCCGAUCCGGAUGAUACUGUAGAAUCACUAAUCUGCAAUUGCAGAAGUGGAUUUAAACCCGCCGUAAUUUGCUAUUAUCGUCU